CGCGUAGGCGGUCUUUUAAGUCAGGUGUGAAAGCCCGGGGCUCAACCCCGGAAGUGCACUUGAAACUAAGAGACUCGAGUAUGGGAGAGGGAAGUGGAAUUCCUGGUGUAGCGGUGAAAUGCGUAGAUAUCAGGAGGAACACCGGUGGCGAAGGCGACUUCCUGGACCAAUACUGACGCUGAGGCGCGAAGGCGUGGGGAGCAAACAGGAUUAGAUACCCUGGUAGUCC
rnacentral:rRNA from 1 species